rnacentral:lncRNA from 1 species
CACCCCCACCCAGAGUCUGCUCAGAAAAAGUUGUGCUCGGUCAAAAUUAUUAAGAAGUUCAGCUCGAAGUUUUCUUCAACCUGUGACACCUUCUAAAUUCUUCUGGCUGCCUUCCCCAAGGACCCCUGUGAGGUGCCUAUUGACUUCUCACAUUGUUGCCACUAUAACGCGGAUACAAGCUGAAACUCACAAUUGUUAUGUUUUGAAACUUGCUAAGGAAUUAGACGAUAUAAGCUGCAGCUCAGAAUCAGAGGAUUUUGCUCUAUUGCCUAAGCUGGAGUGCAAUGACAUAUGAUUGCUUACUGCAGCCUCCAACUCCUGAGCUUAAGCAAUCCUACCACCUAACCCUCCUAAGUAGCUGGGACUACAGG